UUAAUGAAAGUUUGAUCCUGGCUCAGGACGAACGCUGGCGGCGUGCCUAAUACAUGCAAGUAGAACGCUGAAGAGAGGAGCUUGCUCUUCUUGGAUGAGUUGCGAACGGGUGAGUAACGCGUAGGUAACCUGCCUUGUAGCGGGGGAUAACUAUUGGAAACGAUAGCUAAUACCGCAUAACAAUGGAUGACACAUGUCAUUUAUUUGAAAGGGGCAAUUGCUCCACUACAAGAUGGACCUGCGUUGUAUUAGCUAGUAGGUGAGGUAAUGGCUCACCUAGGCGACGAUACAUAGCCGACCUGAGAGGGUGAUCGGCCACACUGGGACUGAGACACGGCCCAGACUCCUACGGGAGGCAGCAGUAGGGAAUCUUCGGCAAUGGGGGCAACCCUGACCGAGCAACGCCGCGUGAGUGAAGAAGGUUUUCGGAUCGUAAAGCUCUGUUGUAAGUCAAGAACGGGUGUGAGAGUGGAAAGUUCACACUGUGACGGUAGCUUACCAGAAAGGGACGGCUAACUACGUGCCAGCAGCCGCGGUAAUACGUAGGUCCCGAGCGUUGUCCGGAUUUAUUGGGCGUAAAGCGAGCGCAGGCGGUUUGAUAAGUCUGAAGUUAAAGGCUGUGGCUCAACCAUAGUUCGCUUUGGAAACUGUCAAACUUGAGUGCAGAAGGGGAGAGUGGAAUUCCAUGUGUAGCGGUGAAAUGCGUAGAUAUAUGGAGGAACACCGGUGGCGAAAGCGGCUCACUGGUCUGUAACUGACGCUGAGGCUCGAAAGCGUGGGGAGCGAACAGGAUUAGAUACCCUGGUAGUCCACGCCGUAAACGAUGAGUGCUAGGUGUUGGAUCCUUUCCGGGAUUCAGUGCCGCAGCUAACGCAUUAAGCACUCCGCCUGGGGAGUACGACCGCAAGGUUGAAACUCAAAGGAAUUGACGGGGGCCCGCACAAGCGGUGGAGCAUGUGGUUUAAUUCGAAGCAACGCGAAGAACCUUACCAGGUCUUGACAUCCCGAUGCUAUUUCUAGAGAUAGAAAGUUACUUCGGUACAUCGGUGACAGGUGGUGCAUGGUUGUCGUCAGCUCGUGUCGUGAGAUGUUGGGUUAAGUCCCGCAACGAGCGCAACCCCUAUUGUUAGUUGCCAUCAUUCAGUUGGGCACUCUAGCGAGACUGCCGGUAAUAAACCGGAGGAAGGUGGGGAUGACGUCAAAUCAUCAUGCCCCUUAUGACCUGGGCUACACACGUGCUACAAUGGUUGGUACAACGAGUUGCGAGUCGGUGACGGCGAGCUAAUCUCUUAAAGCCAAUCUCAGUUCGGAUUGUAGGCUGCAACUCGCCUACAUGAAGUCGGAAUCGCUAGUAAUCGCGGAUCAGCACGCCGCGGUGAAUACGUUCCCGGGCCUUGUACACACCGCCCGUCACACCACGAGAGUUUGUAACACCCGAAGUCGGUGAGGUAACCUUUUGGAGCCAGCCGCCUAAGGUGGGACAGAUGAUUGGGGUGAAGUCGUAACAAGGUAGCCGUAUCGGAAGGUGCGGCUGGAUCACCUCCUUUCUAAGGAA
rnacentral:rRNA from 1 species